CUCAGCCAGCUCGGUGCAGAUCCCUUGCAGUUCUGGAUCCUUCCCCAGCAUCUAGAAAUCAGGAUGUCGUGUGCAGAGCCCUUCAGCUCUCCCCUCAAGGGUUUGGGAAAAAAUGACUGCCAGCCUGAGCCCAAGAUGCACUAACGUCAGAGAGCUUCUCUGUUGUCUGCAGUAGGUUAUAGCUCAAUCUCGAGUACCCGGAGCGCGGCCUUCUUCAGCUGCUAGCACGGGGAGCAGGAGGAAGCCCCCGCUAUGCAUGGCUCGCUCUGGAAGUGUUGUCCAGGGCUGGGGCCUGCAAUGCAACAAAGCCGGCGGGUCGGAUGUCACUGUGUGCUCCGCACACCACUCAUUGCCGUCUGUGCGAGACAGGAGUGCUCUCUGGAGCUGCCAGGAGGGUGCAGACAGGCUCGGUGAGAGCAGCAGACCCUUGUUCUCCCAGGACUGGGCUGGUGCCAGCAAAGCAAACAGGGAUUUGGCCCUAGUCGGAGUCUGCCAAAGGGCUUUUAGAGUAGAGCUGCUGUCAGAGCAGGAUCCACCGCAAAUGGAUGUCCGGAUGAAAGAAUAAACCUCUCCAGGGACACGAAAGACCCCCCCUCCCUUGGCAUUUCACCGCUCGGUGUCUAGGAGCCCAGUGCAGGGAACAGCGCUGCUAAAUGACACGACAACCAUCUCUUAAACACAGUGAAAUGCUGCUUACACGAUGAAGGGCCGAACCUGUUAAGAGAUUAGAUCUGCCAAACACCUGGUUAAUGGCAGAGCAGAAAAGCAACAGAGAGCUUGAACCAUGGAGUGAGCUGAAUAACGUGCGACAGUGCUCAUGGGCAUGAGAAUGAAACACACUCGGGAGUGGAAGGAAAAUGAACUUGGAGGGACCUGUUUUGUCACCAAGGGGCAGGGCUGAGUCCUGUUAACAGAGGCAUCAGUCAAGGAUCAGGCUGGAUUUACUUCUUUCUUUAGCCCAGGUGAUGUUGCCUUAAAUGAAUAAGCCACCGGCUGCCAGAUUGGGAGGCGCUUUGAGAAGAACUCGUGACUCUUUCCAUUCCAGAUGGGAGCGAGCCCACGUCCCCUUCCUCACACCGUCAUGAGCCGGUUGCACUCCCAGAUCGUUUCCCACUUGCGUGGAGAAGCGGAGGUUGCUUGUAGCGUGGGUGAUGUCCUUGUGUUCACUGGAGGGCAGGAUGGAGAUUAUUCUCAGAAGUUGGGAGAGGGCCCUUAGCUAGUGCCUCCAUUCAGCAACCACUGAAUGAAUCUGGAGGGAUUUGAAUGUGCCCAUUUCUGCCUCUGGAAUAUAGAGAGAAGCAAUGUUCAUCCCAUGCUUGAGUGCAUCGGCUUGCUAGCAGUAGCUUGCAGGGUGGUGCUUUAUGCUUGCAAUGCUGGGGUUCCUCAGCUGGGAUCAGGGGCCCUGCUCUCCUGCUGCAGGAUCUGGGCACCUUCCACUUCCCACCGUGGGAAUUCCCCAUCCCUUGCAAAGGGUGAACAGACUGCUCUGUCUGACCAAAGUGUGGCCAGUGGAGCAGAGCAUCCUUCAUGGAGAAGGGCAGCAAAUGCACUUACACAUGUGACGCCGGGGCGAUUCAUACUGGGAUGCGUGGCUGUCACAUCCUGUACCACGUGAAGGAUAAAGCUGGAUCCUGGAGGGUGUCACCUGGAACUGCUGCAGUAGCGGGUACCUUAGCACUGGGAGCUGGAGAAGAUUUUUGCAGCCAUGCAAAAGGCUAUUUCCAAGAGAACUGAGUAUGUGAGAGAGGGGAGUGGGGUCAGGGUGGGAUAUGAUACUGUGCAUGUGCCCUACUAGGCAGUGUAGGGCACCCUGGGACUCUGGGAUGUGGGUACUGGGGUGCUGGACAGCAUGAGAGUGCAGACAAGUGGGGCCCAGGACUGCUGCAUGGAAGUGUGGGGUACAGGCCUAUACUGCAUGGGAGCAUGGGGAUACCAGGGGCUGGAGUGGGUGGCAUGGGGGGGGUCCAGGGCAUGGGUUUUAAGGGUGGGUAGAGGGUGCCGAUGUGCAUGGGACAGCAAGGAGUGGUAGAACUAGUGUGCACCAUGCAUGGACAGCACAGGGCACCAGGGGCCAUGGGAUUACUGCCGAAAGGAAAUGUAUGCUGGAUUCUGGCCCCUCCGGCUCUCAGGAGUAGUGGGAGGGCCUGACUGUCCAUCCCUGCCCUUCCCUUGGAGCAGUCAUGGGGGUCUGGCAGACAGACAGGAGCCUGCCCUGGGUCAGAAGGGCAGGCUGCUCAGGCCCCCUCUGUGCUACACCAGAGCAACCCAGCCCCCACCAGGACACAUGCCAGGGGCACCGCCACCGAAGAGAGGCCCAAGGACAUGGGAGAAGACAGACUGAGCUGAAGCGUGUUUGUCCCAGUUCUGGCUGGAGCAGCUGUUACUGUUUGGUUUGUGACAACUCCAACAACGGCUCCAGGCUGGUUCUGGGCAUCCGAGCAUCCUUCCAGGCCCCUGUCUGCAGGCUUCGCAUGGGUGAGAAGUGCUGCCUGUGAGCUGUGCCUUACCCCUCCAGCCAGGGGGAACGGGAGCAUGUGACAAGACCAGGGAACAUGUGCAGCAUUGCUUCCUGACCUCUCCUUUCCACCAGCCUCCCUGACCAUGGCACAUGGUGCCUGGGACACCAGCCAGACCAUUGCAGGGCAUUGCACUCCACCCACUUCUUGCAGGGCAGCAGUUGAUCUGGGUCCCAGUCUGAGUUGCAAGCUGAAUUCCCCUGCCUUAGAAAUCCCAUGUCUUCCCCAACUCCUCCUGGGGACAACGCAACAAGUGGCCUUGGUUAUCCCAGCGGGGGAGGAAGAAUCAUUUUAACAGUCAACAAAAUACCUGCUCUGCCCCCGUGACCAUCCUGUGUUGCAGCAGGUGCAAUAUUUUCUCCAUUCCUCCUGCGUGAUGCAAGGACACCGGCGGUGCUGUCUGCUCCUGGGACUUCCUGCAUCCAGCACCACGUCCGCAUCUUCGACUGUAUGUCCCAUCCCAUCCUGUCCCCAGGGGGCUCGGAGAAGGGGGUGGGAUUCUAGCCAGACGGUCUGUAGCCAGCGUGUCUGUACUUCUGUCCGUUGUGUUGUGUCAUCUUCCUCGGACUAAUUAAAACUCUUCCUAGAA